rnacentral:lncRNA from 10 species
GUGACGUAUAACAGCGGCGUCCUUUGCAGCACGACGUCCCGGAAGUGCUGCGGCAAUGUUGCUCUUGGAGAUAGCUGGCGUUAGGGAUCCGCCUUCUCUCCCAGAGGCGGGGCAGGUUUCUGUUUGGUUGCCGCCCUAACGGCCAGAACUAAAGCACCUUGCAAGGAAUGAAGUUGGUUCUUGAAGUCCGUGCUGACUGGCUGGGCGCAUUUGCGCAUUUGCUUCUCUGGCUGCAAAAUGGCCCGCAACAGCACUCACUAAUUUGUUGCUAACUUCAGGAACUGUGCGGACAGGUCUCUGAGGCUUCUGAGCCGCGCUAUGUCCAGUAGAUCUGGGCGCCUCAGAACCUGUCACAGCCGACGGAAGCGUUUAUCUGAGUUUCUUGUUUCUUCCCAACCUUUUGAUUUUCGCACCAUUACGCGCUCAACUAUGCCUCUUCUUUUGUCCUAUGGUCUCAACUAAUUAAAGGAAGAAAAGCAAUGCAUGUCCCUUUAUAUUUGACAUCAGCUUCCCCCACAUUCUCCAAAGCUUCUCUCACAAAUAAAGCCAGGUGCUCAGGCUGAGAAGAUUCAAGGAAAGGGUUCCUCACGUAGUUAUACAGUUGUGUUCCAGGGGAAGGAAAAUAUUGUUCGGUUUUGUUCUGCAAUUCCCCACGGUGGUUUUCGGUAAGACUUGAGACUUCCUUAUUCUAAAGUCCAAGCAGCAGUGGAAACAUUUCAAGAUCCCUUUUUGCAAUAUAACUUUUCCAAAGAUUCAAUAUUUAUUUAAACCCAAAAAUCUUGUCACUCGAAGUAAAACGAUUUUCUCCAGGGCCUGAAGAUCCUUGUUCAACUAGUUCAUGUGAUGAAAAUGUCUGUUAAGUAGGUGAUAUGGUUUGGAUGUUUGUUCCCUCCAAAUCUCAUGCUGAAAUUUGAUUCCCAGUGUCGUAGAUGGGACCUCGUGGGAGGUGAUUGGAUCAUGGGGGCAGAAUUCUCAUGAAUGGCUUAGCACCAUCCCCUUGGUGAUAAGUGAGUUUUCACUCAGUUCACUUGAGAUGUGGUUGUUUUAAGAGUCUGUGACCUCUUCUAUUUCUCUCUUGCUCCCACUCUUGCCAUGUGACAUGCUGGCUCCCCAUCACCUUCCGCCAUGAUUGUAAGCUUCUAGAGACCUCACCAGAAACUGAUGCCAGCACCAUGCUUCCUGUAAAGCCUCCAGAACCAUAAGCCAAUUAAACCUCUUUCUUUAUAAAUUACCUAGCCUUGGGCAUUUCUUUACAGCAAUGCAAAAAAAAACAAAAAUGCUGGUUUCCACAGCCAUUCUUUAUCUUCAAAGAAUUUGGUAAAAUCUGGG